rnacentral:rRNA from 1 species
CCUACGGGAGACAGCAGUGGGGAAUAUUGCACAAUGGGGGAAACCCUGAUGCAGCGACGCCGCGUGAGUGAAGAAGUAAUUCGUUACGUAAAGCUCUAUCAGCAGGGAAGAAACACUGACCUUACGGGCAGCAGACGGUACCUGAGUAAGAAGCCCCGGCUAACUACGUGCCAGCAGCCGCGGUAAUACGUAGGGGGCAAGCGUUAUCCGGAUUUACUGGGUGUAAAGGGAGCGUAGACGGUGCACCAAGUCUGGAGUGAAAUGCCGCAGCUUAACUGCGGAACUGCUUUGGAAACUGGCGAACUAGAGUGCGGGAAGGGUAAGCGGAAUUCCUAGUGUAGCGGUGAAAUGCGUAGAUAUUAGGAGGAACACCGGUGGCGAAGGCGGCUUACUGGACCGUAACUGACGUUGAGGCUCGAAAGCGUGGGGAGCAAACAGGAUUAGAUACCCUUGUAGUC